AGAUGUUUAAUCUAAAUAAGAAUAUUGAUUUCGACUCAAUAAAUCGUGAUGAAAAUCCACGAACAUCUU
ensembl:Mt_tRNA